GCCGAUGUGGUGGAAUUGGUAGACACGCUAUCUUGAGGGGGUAGUGGCGUAAGCCGUGCCGGUUCAAAUCCGGCCAUCGGCACCA
rnacentral:tRNA from 13 species